rnacentral:rRNA from 1 species
AGUGAACGCUGGCGGUAGGCCUAACACAUGCAAGUCGAACGGCAGCACAGUAAGAGCUUGCUCUUACGGGUGGCGAGUGGCGGACGGGUGAGGAAUACAUCGGAAUCUACUUUUUCGUGGGGGAUAACGUAGGGAAACUUACGCUAAUACCGCAUACGACCUACGGGUGAAAGCAGGGGAUCUUCGGACCUUGCGCGAUUGAAUGAGCCGAUGUCGGAUUAGCUAGUUGGCGGGGUAAAGUCCCACCAAGGCGACGAUCCGUAGCUGGUCUGAGAGGAUGAUCAGCCACGCUGGAACUGAGACACGGUCCAGACUCCUACGGGAGGCAGCAGUGGGGAAUAUUGGACAAUGGGCGCAAGCCUGAUCCAGCCAUACCGCGUGGGUGAAGAAGGCCUUCGGGUUGUAAAGCCCUUUUGUUGGGAAAGAAAAGCAGCAGGUUAAUACCCCGCUGUUCUGACGGUACCCAAAGAAUAAGCACCGGCUAACUUCGUG